rnacentral:rRNA from 1 species
AGUGAACUGCAGAAGGAUCAUAAACGUAUUGUUCCAU